rnacentral:rRNA from 1 species
UACGUAGGGUGCAAGCGUUAUCCGGAAUUAUUGGGUGUAAAGAGCUCGUAGGCGGUUUGUCGCGUCUGCUGUGAAAACUGGAGGCUCAACCUCCAGCCUGCAGUGGGUACGGGCAAACUAGAGUGCGGUAGGGGAGAUUGGAAUUCCUGGUGUAGCGGUGGAAUGCGCAGAUAUCAGGAGGAACACCGAUGGCGAAGGCAGAUCUCUGGGCCGUAACUGACGCUGAGGAGCGAAAGCGUGGGGAGCGAACAGG